AACGUAGGAGGCAAGCGUUAUCCGGAUUUACUGGGCGUAAAGCGCGUGCAGGUGGUUCGGAAAGUUGGAUGUGAAAGCUCCUGGCUUAACCGGGAGAGGUCAUUCAAUACUUCCGGGCUUGAGUGCGGGAGAGGGAGGUGGAAUUCCGGGUGUAGUGGUGAAAUGCGUAGAUAUCCGGAGGAACACCAGUGGCGAAAGCGGCCUCCUGGUCCGCUACUGACACUUAGACGCGAAAGCUAGGGUAGCAAACGGG
rnacentral:rRNA from 2 species